rnacentral:pre_miRNA from 1 species
ACGAAGAUUUCAUUUGCCAGUUUUUGAAUAUAAUGUUUGACUCUUCGUCUUAUUUAAAAUUUUUCUAUGAUUAAUAUUUUUGUUGUUAUUAUAUGAUAAAACAAGAAUAGUACUUUAUGCGUGACUAUUUUUUUUAUAAAAUUUUUAAAUAAGACAAACAGCCAAACGUUGGACGCAGAAAAAAAAUUCUUCCCCAACG